UAAUACAUGUGUAUGUAUGUAUGUUUGGGGUAGAGGGAUAUGACCCUUAUUGAGCUUAUCCACCAGAGUGGAAAUAAUGUCUGUAUAAAACAAAAUGUUUGUUACUAUGACUUCUACAUCAGAAUUAAAAUCCAGUCAACUCUAGGGAUGCCUGGGUGGCUCAGUCAGUUAAGCGUCUAACUUCGGCUCAGGUCAUGAUCUUGGCGGUUCAUGAAUUUGAGCCCCGCGUCGGGCUCUGUGCUGACAGCGCAGAGCCUGGAGCCUACUUUGGAUUCUGUGUCUCCCUCUCUCUCUGCCCCUUCUCCGCUUGUGCUCUGUCUCUCUCUCUCAAAAAUAAACAUUAAAAAUUUUUUUAAAUAAAUAAAAUCCAGUCAACUCUAUCAAAAUACUUUAGAAUCAAUAGCUUCUCUGAAGCCACAGUAACACUUAAAUAAGGUUAAGACUCAAAAGCAGAAAUUUGGUUGGUUGGAAAGCUAAUUAAACUUCCUACUUGCUCAAAUAGAAUUACAAAAGAACAGAAUUGUGUUUUUCACAGAGACAGAGUCCACUGGACUCACCAACACUGGACAGCUGUCAAGAGUGUUUAGUCCUGAGAUCAUAAGGAAUCCAGGCAUCCUUGGACAAGUAUUCUGUUGCCUUUUCUUCCCAAUCAGAGAUUUGUGGAUGUGACCCCACCACCAGCAAUUGUAGCCUUAAGGAGCGAGUCUAAUUCUUCAUCUCCACAAAUAGCAAGUUGCAGGUGAUGAGUGGUAAUAUGCUUUACCUUCAAGUCUUUUGAUCAUUUCCUGCCAGUCAGAGCCCCUCUGCGGUGACGUACUUACUCCAGGAUGGCUGCAUUGUAC
rnacentral:lncRNA from 1 species